AAUAUACUCCCUCCGUCCAAAAAUACGUGUCGGAGAAAUGAACGUAUCUAUAUGUAUUUUCAUUCUAGAUACAUUCAUUUUCAUCCAUUUAUGCAACAAGUAAUUCCGGACGGAGGGAGUAUAUA
rfam:Triticum urartu cultivar G1812 contig1173205, whole genome shotgun sequence.